rnacentral:rRNA from 1 species
UGAGGAAUAUUGGUCAAUGGGCGAAAGCCUGAACCAGCAACGCCGCGUGAGGGAUGAAGGCCUUCGGGUUGUAAACCUCUUUUCUGGGAGAAGAGACAAGGACGGUAUCCCAGGAAUAAGUCUCGGCUAACUACGUGCCAGCAGCCGCGGUAAAACGUAGGAGGCUAGCGUUAUCCGGAUUUACUGGGCGUAAAGCGCACGCAGGCGGUCACGUAAGUCGGAUGUGAAAUCUCUCGGCUCAACUGGGAGGGGCCGUUCGAUACUGCGUGACUUGAGGUUGGGAGAGGGAGGCGGAAUUCCCGGUGUAGUGGUGGAAUGCGUAGAUAUCGGGAGGAACACCAGUGGCGAAAGCGGCUUCCUGGCCCACACCUGACGCUCAGGUGCGAAAGCGUGGGUAGCGAACGG